rnacentral:rRNA from 1 species
UACGGAGGGGGCUAGCGUUGUUCGGAAUUACUGGGCGUAAAGCGCACGUAGGCGGCGAUUUAAGUCAGAGGUGAAAGCCCGGGGCUCAACCCCGGAACUGCCUUUGAGACUGGAUUGCUAGAAUCACGGAGAGGUGGGUGGAAUUCCGAGUGUAGAGGUGAAAUUCGUAGAUAUUCGGAAGAACACCAGUGGCGAAGGCGGCCCACUGGCCCGGUACUGACGCUGAGGUGCGAAAGCGUGGGGAGCAAACAGG